rnacentral:lncRNA from 1 species
CCUUCUCUCUGUCUCUCUCUCUUUCUCUGUCUCUGCCUCUCUCUGUGUCUGUCUCUCUGUGUCUCUCUGCCUCUCUUUUCUCUCUGUCUCUGUCUCUCUCUAUCUCUCUGUGUCUCUGUCUCUGUGCCUCUGUCUCUCUUUGUCUCUCUCUUUCUCUGUCUUUCUCUCUGUCUCUCUCUGUCUCUGUUACUCUCUCUCCUUCUCUCUGUCUCUCUCCCAUGAAUACAUAAAUAAAAUCCAAAAAAAUAAAAAACAGAAAACAAAAAACAAAUCUCAAAAAUCUCCUUCAUAAAUCCCUUCUAUAAUUUCUUUUUCCAUUCCGUCAGUCUUAAGUGUUCUUUCUCUAAAUAGCCAGGCUUUGGGACGCCCCUGUGCCUCAGCGUUUGAGCGUCUGGCUUCAGCUCAGGGCGUGAUCCCAGACUCCUGGGACCGAGUCCCAUAUCAGGGUCCUCGCAUAGAGCCUGCUUCCCUUGUCUCUGCCUGUCCCUGUGUCUCUCGUGAAUAAGUAAAUAAAAUCUUAAAAAAAAAAAAAAAAAAGCCA